rnacentral:rRNA from 1 species
GAUCAUGGCUCAGGACGAACGCUGGCGGCGCGCCUAACACAUGCAAGUCGAACGAGCGAGAGAGAGCUUGCUUUCUCGAGCGAGUGGCGAACGGGUAAGUAACGCGUGAGGAACCUGCCUCAAAGGGGGGGACAACAGUUGGAAACGACUGCUAAUACCGCAUAAGCCCACGGGUCGGCAUCGACCAGAGGGAAAAGGAGCAAUCCGCUUUGAGAUGGCCUCGCGUCCGAUUAGCUAGUUGG